GGAGCGGUGACGGACCGCGCGCCCAGGGGUACUGGGAGGCUGCGCUGGGCCCCGGGCAGGGCCGUUCAGGACUCUCUCCGCCUGCAGCCCCCGCCUCCCCCGGUACCUCCGCCAGGAUCCAAGAGGCGUCCAGAGGGGAGCCCAGGCCCUGCGCCCGCCUUCUGGAGGAGAGGGCACUGGCUCUGCGGAAACAUCAGACCCGGCCAUCCCUGCAGCCGCGCCCCUGGCCCAGCCUCACGCUCAGCCGCUGGGACACAGCCCCCGAAAACGGAGACUUCCGUCGUCGGUAAUGGAGGGCAGAGCAGAAGGGGCUGGAGAGGUCCCGAGGCCCUCCGCUUUCACGCCCCUCCCUCCAAGGCUGCAGGUCGGGCGACGGAGCUGUCAGUCAGGAGUCCCCUGGAGCAACCCCCACUCCAGUACAGGCCUCUGGAGCCUUACAGCUCCCUUCCUAUCGACUCUCCCAUCUCCUCUGUCCCCACCCCGCACCUUCCUUCUCCUCCUCCUCCCAGCUUCUCUGAGCAGCCACUGCUCCUGCCCACCUGCCUCUCCCCUCUCUGCCCACCUCUCCUACACUCCUGAUUCCAGGUUGAGCUCAU